rnacentral:rRNA from 1 species
CCUCUUGCAAUACUAAAGAAUAAGAGGUCCCGCCUGCCCUGUGACUACAUGUUUAACGGCCGCGGUAUUUUGACCGUGCGAAGGUAGCGCAAUCACUUGUCUUUUAAAUGGAGACCUGUAUGAAUGGCACCACGAGGGCUUAACUGUCUCCCUCCCCCAGUCAAUGAAAUUGAUCUCUCCGUGCAGAAGCGGAGAUAAAAACAUAAGACGAGAAGACCCUAUGGAGCUUAAGACACCAGAGUAGCCCAUGUUAAACACCCCUAAAUAAAGGGAAAAAACCAAAUGGACCCUGCCCUAAUGUCUUUGGUUGGGGCGACCGCGGGGAAAUACAAAACCCCCAUGUGGAAAAGGAAUACUAUGUUCCCAAAUCCAAGAGCUCCCGCUCUAGCAAACAGAACUUCUGACCAAUUGGAUCCGGCAAUGCCGAUCAACGAACCGAGUUACCCUAGGGAUAACAGCGCAAUCCCCUUAAAGAGCCCUUAUCGACAAGGGGGUUUACGACCUCGAUGUUGGAUCAGGACAUCCUAAUGGUGCAGCCGCUAUUAAGGGUUCGUUUGUUCAACGAUUAAAGUCCU